UACGAAGGGUGCAAGCGUUACUCGGAAUUACUGGGCGUAAAGCGUGCGUAGGUGGUCUUUUAAGUCCGUUGUGAAAGCCCUGGGCUCAACCUGGGAAUGGCAGUGGAUACUGGAAGGCUGGAGUACGGUAGAGGAGGGUGGAAUUCCCGGUGUAGCGGUGAAAUGCGUAGAGAUCGGGAGGAACAUCAGUGGCGAAGGUGGCCCUCUGGACCAGUACUGACGCUGAGGCACGAAAGCGUGGGGAGCAAACAGG
rnacentral:rRNA from 1 species